rnacentral:rRNA from 1 species
CACCGCGGUUAUACGAGAGACCCAAGUUGAUAGCCACCGGCGUAAAGCGUGGUUAAGAUCCAGGGAAACACUAAAGCCGAAUGCCCUUAGAGCUGUUAUACGCACCUAAAGGUAAGAAGCCCAAUCACGAAAGUAGCUUUAUUUCCCCGAACCCACGAGAGCUAGGGCA